ACUGAGGACUGCCUGUCCUGCCCCCCCUCCCCCCUAUAAAUUACUGCAAACAGCAUCACCGCCUCCACUUGUACAGCUGAAGAGAGCAGAAAGCUUCCUCCACCUGAGCAGCUUGUUGGAGACGAGCAGCUUGUUGGAAACAGCAGUGAAGAUGAAUCUCCUGCCCUGGAUGAUGCUGGUGUUCCUGCUCUCAGCUGGGACCAGUUUGGCUGAUGUGGACGUGAACUGGCUGGCUG